UACGGAGGGGGCUAGCGUUGUUCGGAAUUACUGGGCGUAAAGCGCACGUAGGCGGCUUUGUAAGUUAGAGGUGAAAGCCCAGGGCUCAACCCUGGAAUUGCCUUUAAGACUGCAUCGCUUGAACAUCGGAGAGGUAAGUGGAAUUCCGAGUGUAGAGGUGAAAUUCGUAGAUAUUCGGAAGAACACCAGUGGCGAAGGCGACUUACUGGACGAUUGUUGACGCUGAGGCACGAAAGCGUGGGGAGCAAACAGG
rnacentral:rRNA from 1 species